GGGGGGGGGGGGGGGGCUGUGGGACCCCAUCUGGUGCCUACAGGGGUCCGAGGGGUCCCCGAGGGGGAUCUCCACGGUCCCUAUGUUGACCUAUAGGCCCCCGUGGCGACCUGUAGGAUAUUUACGGGGUGCCUACGGUGCUCUACAGGUCCCCAAAAAGGACUUACGGGUCCCCGUGGGGUGUCUGUGGGGUCUCUACGCUGCCCUGUACGUCCCCACGUUGACCUACGAGUCCCCCCCAGUAGCCUACUGGUCCCCAAAGACGACCUAUACGUCUCCCACGAUGUCUACGGGGUCCCCACGGUGGCCUACAGGUCCC